rnacentral:rRNA from 1 species
GAUGAACGCUAGCGGGAGGCCUAACACAUGCAAGCCGAGCGGUAGAAUCUUUUCGGAGAUUUGAGAGCGGCGUACGGGUGAGGAACACGUGUGCAACCCGCCUUUAUCUGGGAGAUAGCCUUUCGAAAGGAAGAUUCAUAUCCCAUACUAUAUUGAGUGGCAUCACUUACUAUUGAAAGCUGCGGCGGAUAGCGAUGGGCACGCGCAGGAUUGGAUAGUUGGUGAGGUAACGGCGCACCAAGUCUACGAUCUUUAGGGGGCCUGAGAGGGUGAUCCCCCACACUGGUACUGAGACACGGACCAGACUCCUACGGGAGGCAGCAGUGAGGAAUAUUGGACAAUGGGUGCAAGCCUGAUCCAGCCAUCCCGCGUGAAGGAUUAAGGUCCUAUGGAUUGUAAACUUCUUUUAUACAGGGAUAAACCUCUCCUCGUGAGGAGAGCUGAAGGUACUGUAUGAAUAAGCACCGGCUAACUCCGUGCCAGCCGCCGCCGUAA